AGAGUUUGAUCCUGGCUCAGGAUGAACGCUGGCGGCGUGCUUAACACAUGCAAGUCGAGCGAAGCAGUUAAGAAGAUUCUUCGGAUGAAACUUGAUUGACUGAGCGGCGGACGGGUGAGUAACGCGUGGGUGACCUGCCCCAUACCGGGGGAUAACAGCUGGAAACGGCUGCUAAUACCGCAUAAGCGCACAGAGCUGCAUAGCUCAGUGUGAAAAACUCCGGUGGUAUGGGAUGGGCCCGCGUCUGAUUAGGCAGUUGGCGGGGUAACGGCCCACCAAACCGACGAUCAGUAGCCGGCCUGAGAGGGCGACCGGCCACAUUGGGACUGAGACACGGCCCAAACUCCUACGGGAGGCAGCAGUGGGGAAUAUUGGUCAAUGGGCGAGAGCCUGAACCAGCCAAGUAGCGUGAAGGAUGACUGCCCUAUGGGUUGUAAACUUCUUUUAUAAAGGAAUAAAGUCGGGUAUGGAUACCCGUUUGCAUGUACUUUAUGAAUAAGGAUCGGCUAACUCCGUGCCAGCAGCCGCGGUAAUACGGAGGAUCCGAGCGUUAUCCGGAUUUAUUGGGUUUAAAGGGAGCGUAGAUGGAUGUUUAGGUCAGUUGUGAAAGUUCGCGGCUCAACCGUAAAAUUGCAGUUGAUACUGGAUAUCUUGAGUGCAGUUGAGGCAGGCGGAAUUCGUGGUGUAGCGGUGAAAUGCUUAGAUAUCACGAAGAACUCCGAUUGCGAAGGCAGCCUGCUAAGCUGCAACUGACAUUGAGGCUCGAAAGUGUGGGUAUCAAACAGGAUUAGAUACCCUGGUAGUCCACACGGUAAACGAUGAAUACUCGCUGUUUGCGAUAUACAGCAAGCGGCCAAGCGAAAGCGUUAAGUAUUCCACCUGGGGAGUACGCCGGCAACGGUGAAACUCAAAGGAAUUGACGGGGGCCCGCACAAGCGGAGGAACAUGUGGUUUAAUUCGAUGAUACGCGAGGAACCUUACCCGGGCUUAAAUUGCAGGUGAAUUACGGUGAAAGCCGUAAGCCGCAAGGCAUCUGUGAAGGUGCUGCAUGGUUGUCGUCAGCUCGUGCCGUGAGGUGUCGGCUUAAGUGCCAUAACGAGCGCAACCCUUGUUGUCAGUUACUAACAGGUUCCGCUGAGGACUCUGACAAGACUGCCAUCGUAAGAUGUGAGGAAGGUGGGGAUGACGUCAAAUCAGCACGGCCCUUACGUCCGGGGCUACACACGUGUUACAAUGGGGGGUACAGAGGGCCGCUACCACGCGAGUGGAUGCCAAUCCCCAAAACCUCUCUCAGUUCGGACUGGAGUCUGCAACCCGACUCCACGAAGCUGGAUUCGCUAGUAAUCGCGCAUCAGCCACGGCGCGGUGAAUACGUUCCCGGGCCUUGUACACACCGCCCGUCAAG
rnacentral:rRNA from 1 species